rnacentral:rRNA from 1 species
GACAGAGGGUGCAAGCGUUAAUCGGAAUUACUGGGCGUAAAGGGCCCGUAGGCGGACAACUAAGUCGAGUGUGAAAUACCCGGGCUCAACCUGGGGAUGUCAUUCGAUACUGGUUGACUAGAGUUGGAUAGAGGAUAGUGGAAUUUCAGGUGUAGCGGUGAAAUGCGUAGAUAUCGGAAGGAACACCAGUGGCGAAGGCGGCUAUCUGGAUCCAAACUGACGCUGAGGGGAGAAAGCAUGGGGAGCAAACAGG